rnacentral:rRNA from 1 species
GACGAACGCUGGCGGCGUGCUUAACACAUGCAAGUCGAACGGAAAGGCCCUGCUUGCAGGGUACUCGAGUGGCGAACGGGUGAGUAACACGUGGGUGAUCUGCCCUGCACUUCGGGAUAAGCCUGGGAAACUGGGUCUAAUACCGGAUAGGAGCCAUCUUUAGUGUGAUGGUUGGAAAGUUUUUUCUGUGUAGGAUGAGCUCGCGGCCUAUCAGCUUGUUGGUGGGGUAAUGGCCUACCAAGGCGGCGACGGGUAGCCGGCCUGAGAGGGUGGACGGCCACAUUGGGACUGCGAUACGGCCCAGACGCCUACGGGAGGCAGCAGUGGGGAAUAUUGCACAAUGGGGGCAAGCCUGAUGCAGCGACGCCGCGUGGGGGAUGACGGCCUUCGGGUUGUAAACUCCUUUCGCUAGGGACGAAGCUUUUUGUGACGGUACCUAGAUAAGAAGCACCGGCUAACUACGUG